rnacentral:tRNA from 1 species
UUUUUCUUGGUGUUAAGCACGCAAAGCUUUGACCUUUGAAGAGGAGGAGAGAUUCCUCCAGAAAAAG